rnacentral:rRNA from 1 species
AUUGAACGCUGGCGGCAUGCUUUACACAUGCAAGUCGAACGGCAGCGCGGGCUUCGGCCUGGCGGCGAGUGGCGAACGGGUGAGUAAUGCAUCGGAACGUGCCCAGUAGUGGGGGAUAGCCCGGCGAAAGCCGGAUUAAUACCGCACACGACCUGAGGGUGAAAGCGGGGGACCGAAAGGCCUCGCGCUAUUGGAGCGGCCGAUGUCGGAUUAGCUAGUUGGUGGGGUAAAGGCUUACCAAGGCGACGAUCCGUAGCUGGUCUGAGAGGACGACCAGCCACACUGGGACUGAGACACGGCCCAGACUCCUACGGGAGGCAGCAGUGGGGAAUUUUGGACAAUGGGGGCAACCCUGAUCCAGCCAUGCCGCGUGCGGGAAGAAGGCCUUCGGGUUGUAAACCGCUUUUGUUCGGGAAGAAAUCCUCUGGGCUAAUACCCCGGGGGGAUGACGGUACCGGAAGAAUAAGCACCGGCUAACUACGUG